GUAGAUAGGAGCCCAAAGUUUGCGUUCUUUUGAGUUUUUGCUCAGCCUUUCAGUGAAUAUACAAUAUAUAUGUGAGAGUGGGAUAGGGGAAUAGUCACUUAUGUCUUAGUCUGGCUCAGUGAAUCUGCAUUCUCCAUCAACAAAAGGGCAGAGGAAGCAAUCAGAUGUGCAUUUGCCUCAGGUGAGCAGAGGGAUGACUUUCUGUCCCACACCUGGGAAGAUCUCAUGGACUUUUUCAUAAAGCUUACGUUUUAUAUUUUACAAUUUGUAUUGAAGCAUAAUGUGCAGAGUGAAAAGCACCAAUCUUGGGAGUUCAGCCAGACCUGCCUUGGAGAACCUUUCCCUCCACGUCUUCUGUCUGUGUUUUAGAGAACUGGAAAAUAGGCCACUUUAACAUGGUCUCUCCUACAAAGAGAAAAUGUUGAAUUGCCCACAAGGACCAUUCAAAGGGUAAAAGGAGUAAUGAGCCUCCAUCCUUGCCCCAGCCCUGCAGCUCUGCUCCAGGAAAUCUCCACUUAAAAAUUAAACAUUGGUUUGUGCUUUGUUUUUUCUCCCUAAUGCUGUAAUUUGAAUACUUUGUAGCUCAAAACAUAUAGAACUCUACCAUUAUUUUCAUAGUCUCUUGUUUCUGGUCUUCUAUUCAGGUAUUUUAUCCAUUUUGAGUUAAGUUUUGUAUAUGCCAAAAGAGAAGGGUCCAGUUUUAUUGUUUUGCAUAUGGAAAUAGUAUUCCCACCACCAUUUAUUGAAGAGACUCUCCUGUCCCUAUUGUGUCUUCUUCAUGCCAUUGUCAAAAGUUACUUGACCAUAUGUGUUUCGAUGUGUUUCUGGACUCUCAAUUUUAUUUCACUGGUAUGUGUCUGGUUUUAUGCCAAUACCAUAUUGUUUUGAUUACCGUAGCUUUGUAAUAUAAUUUAAAACCAGGAAUUGUGAUGUCUUCAACUUUGUUUUUUUUUCUCAGAAUUGUUUUGUCUAUUUGGGUUCUUUCACCAUUUCAUACAAAUUUUAGGAUUUUUUUUUUUAUUUCUGUAAAGAAUGCCAUGGGGAUUUUGAUAGGAAUUGUGCUGAAUCGGUAUAUUGUUUUGUUUGGGAUAGACAUUUUAACAAUCUUAAUUCUUCCAAUUUUCAGCCCAGGAUAUCUUUCCAUUUAUUUUUACAUUCUUUAAUUUCUUUCACUAUUUUUUUUUUUUUCAUUUUCAGUGUGUAGAUCCUUCACCUCCUUGUUUCUUCCUAGGUGUUUUAUUUUUUGAUGCUAUUGUACAUGGAAUUGUUUUCUUGAUUUUUGUUUCAGUUUUGUUAGGGAAUCUAUGGGCAUUUAAAAAUGCAUUUGUUCUGUAUUUAUUUGAAUUUUGCCUUCAUUUACCCAGCAGGAGAUGACCAUUUAACUAACAUCUAAAUUUCGAAUUAAACUUUCC
rnacentral:lncRNA from 10 species